rnacentral:rRNA from 1 species
AGUGAACGCUGGCGGUAGGCCUAACACAUGCAAGUCGAACGGCAGCACAGGAGAGCUUGCUCUCUGGGUGGCGAGUGGCGGACGGGUGAGGAAUACAUCGGAAUCUACUCUGUCGUGGGGGAUAACGUAGGGAAACUUACGCUAAUACCGCAUACGACCUACGGGUGAAAGCAGGGGACCUUCGGGCCUUGCGCGAUUGAAUGAGCCGAUGUCGGAUUAGCUAGUUGGCGGGGUAAAGGCCCACCAAGGCGACGAUCCGUAGCUGGUCUGAGAGGAUGACCAGCCACACUGGAACUGGAACACGGUCCAGACUCCUACGGGAGGCAGCAGUGGGGAAUAUUGGACAAUGGGCGCAAGCCUGCUCCAGCCAUACCGCGUGGGUGAAGAAGGCCUUCGGGUUGUAAAGCCCUUUUGUUGGGAAAGAAAUCCAGCUGGCUAAUACCCGGUUGGGAUGACGGUACCCAAAGAAUAAGCACCGGCUAACUUCGUGCCAGCCGCCGCAGUAA